rnacentral:lncRNA from 1 species
GUUCUUAAAGACAAAUUGUAUGUCUAUACUGUAGGCUGAGCUAUUAGUCCAGCGUAUGUGCAUACAUCUUUGGGCUUUGUACUUGCUCACUACAUGAAAGCUGGGGUCCCAGCACAGUUCUCGCAUGCUCUGCAUACCAAUAAUAUCAUCAGCAUUCUAAGCCUGUGAACUGUACUGGACUGAGAAUAAUGGGAAAUAUUGGUUUGGUUAAACAAAGUUAAACACUUGUUUACUUCCUUGUAGUUUGUCUUGUAUGGAUUUAUCAGCCUAAUAUAUAUGUGAUUUGGCAUUUUGUUACUAUACAGGGAAGCUUCAUUAUGUCUUUUUGUGUAGAACUGAACGGUGGGAUGUAAUGACUCUCCUGUGCACCAGGUGGCAGUGUUAGCAAAGGGAUUCCAAUCAGGGCAUCUUCCACCUAAAUGUUGGUGAUUACAUUGAAGAAAGUACAAUUUGUCGUUUCUCCUGCUUGCUCAUGUUUGGCUGUAAUUGAAAUCACAUUUUAAUCUGCCCUUCACACUGCUAUAAAAAGCUAAUUCAAGUUGGAAGAUGUUUCCAUUAAGGAUUUGAUACAGUAGUAUCACUCAUUUGUGGCUCAUGCUUGACAGAUAAGGCACAGAUACAGAUAAGGGAGUAAACACAAUCACUACUGCGUGCUCAACAUCGUUAUGAGCUUUUAUUCAAGAGCACAAAUGGAGUUUUGGUCAAAGCGAUGCAGCGGAAAGCAGCUCUGCAGAUGCAGUGAGUGAGAGGGGCAGGAACUGUAGUGAAAGGUCAGUUAAGCAGCUGUGACAUUGUUCUACUCAUCAAAUGUCAGGAUGGCCCAGGGGUCGAUGUGACUGACAGAGGACCUUAUCAGGUGGGAUGACGCUACUUCUGGCAGAGGAGCGUACAAGCAUCGCUGGAGGUGGCAUGGGAGUUUCAGUGAUAACAUCUGGCUUUGACUUCACUGCACCUUGUAGCAACACGCCUCCUUACAACACGUCUUGCACCUUGCAGAUCUUAUCAAAGUGUAACUUUAAUUGAAAAUACAAACAAAUAAUAAUAUUUUGUUUAAAUUAAAUUUGAGUUUCUUGUGAUAAAUGUCAGUGUAUUACAUCAGUCUUUUUGUGGCUACCAUUGAGAACAAUAAAACAUUUUUGUCUUUACUAAAUAAAGUAGUU